GUUCUUUUCUUUUUUUUGUUAAUCAAGAUCUAAAACUUUGAGAAUGCAUACAUCAAGACUCCAAUAAAGUAUUUAAAACAUCUUAUGGCUCUAGAUUUCAUGUACCCACCAUUUGUUUUGAUUUGUUAUGGUUUUGAGGUUAACAUGAAGCAACGACUAUGCUCCAAAUUAAUCAUAUUCUGGUAAUAUCCAUUAACAUAAAGAAAAUGCAAAAUCCCAUUUCAAAGUUACAAAAUGUUGUACAAUAUGAUUUCAGCAAGAAUCAUCAAUGCAUUCAUUUUCUGUCUUCUUCAAUCAUCAGCUCUGGUUAUUUCACUGUCUUGUAUGUGGAACAAGUGCACGAGCUUUGAUCUUCUCAUUUCAGCCAAAAAUGGGAGAAAAUGGAAACAAAGCUCAAUAGACAGAAGACUUCCAUAAUUGCACAAUCUUUAGAAGACAUAGGGAAAGUUUCAUUGGGUGAAGUAUUGUGAUAGAGGAAAGGCCAGUCCCUGCUUAUGCAGUAACCUUCAUCAAAUCCUGGAGCCAAAAGUCCAUUAAGCAGUUUAUCCUUAAGACUUGUUAGUAGCCUGGAGAAAUCAGGAAUUGUUUUUUGAGCCUGUAGAAUUGGUGGAAAAGAAAAUACACUAGUAACCAAUUAAGAAUGGUAUUUAUUUGAGGUAGAUAGAAACCAUGCAACAAUAUCUCCAAAGAAAGAUGUAAUUACCAAUGGUUUGGUUUAUCCACCAAAUCUUAAUCUCCCUUCGGUUAGUGGUAAGCGAACUGUGGGCUAUUAGCUA
rnacentral:misc_RNA from 1 species